AACGCAUCUUGCGCUCCAUGGUAUUCCGUGGAGCAUGCCUGUUCGAGUGUCACGUCAACCUCACCGCUUGCGAUGUCAAAGUCGCUCGAGGUGGAUUUGGACCGUGCCGCGUCUCGCGGCUCGUCUUGAAAUGCAUUAGCUUGCGCUUUUUAGAGUGCUCGGCACCGGUGUGAUAAUUAUCUGCGCCAACGCCUCAGGCCUCUUCAGUAGUGCUGCUUACAGUCGUCCCGACGGACAAUUAUACCAAGCUUUGGCCUCGAAUCAGGUAGGACUACCCGCUGAACUUAA
rnacentral:misc_RNA from 1 species